rnacentral:rRNA from 1 species
GACGAACGCUGGCGGCGUGCUUAACACAUGCAAGUCGAACGGAAAGGCCCUGCUUUUGUGGGGUGCUCGAGUGGCGAACGGGUGAGUAACACGUGAGUAACCUGCCCUUGACUUUGGGAUAACUUCAGGAAACUGGGGCUAAUACCGGAUAGGAGCUCCUGCUGCAUGGUGGAGGUUGGAAAGUUUCGGCGGUUGGGGAUGGACUCGCGGCUUAUCAGCUUGUUGGUGGGGUAGUGGCUUACCAAGGCUUUGACGGGUAGCCGGCCUGGGAGGGUGACCGGCCACAUUGGGACUGAGAUGCGGCCCAGACUCCUACGGGAGGCAGCAGUGGGGAAUAUUGCACAAUGGGCGGAAGCCUGAUGCAGCAACGCCGCGUGCGGGAUGACGGCCUUCGGGUUGUAAACCGCUUUCGCCUGUGACGAAGCGUGAGUGACGGUAAUGGGUAAAGAAGCACCGGCUAACUACGUG